UUGUGAGGGAGGUCCAAGGGUUCAAGGAACAUGGCGAUCUCUGCUGGGUUGCCAGUGCACUUGAUGAACUGGGUGACUUCAGGGCUGAUGAAGCAGACAUGGUCAGAACAGUCAUGAAACUGACUGUUGGCAAAGUACUCAAAGGCAAACCCAAUAAUAUGGUCAUUGAGCCAGCUUGGAGGAUCCAAUAGUGAGACAUCUGAUUGCCGCAGUAGACUGUCCAUGUAACUCAAGACUACUGGGUCCAUCUUGUACUGACCAGGGCUGCUCAGAAAUUCCAGAAGCUGAAGGAGAGGCAGAAGACAAUAUUUACUGUUGAAUAUGAUACUUGGCUGUAAAAUGGGGAUCAUAAAUAUCAACUACUCUUACAAGGUUUUGGGUAAGGAUUAAAUAUAACUGUAAAGUGUUUAGCAACAAUGUCUGGCUAAGAGUAAACACUCAAAAAAACCCUCUAGCUUAUGUGCUUUAUGUUAACAAUUAGUUAGAAUGAAAACUUUGGAAAUUCUGCAUCUGAAAUAGUAAGCAUGGAUUUAAAAUCUCCUCUUUAAAUGCAGAGAUUGGUUAAAAUUAUAACUAAUGUUUUACCAAACUCUAUAGCAUUAACCAUAUAUUUGGCCCUUUAAUGAAUAUGCAUGAUAAGAAUGGCAAAUUGUUUUUAUAUUAAAGAUGAAUUCUCAGGGCUUUCCUGGUGGUGCAGUGGUUAAGAAUCUGCCUGCCAAUGCAGGGAAGCCCUAACCUCAAUAAUUCUAAAGCAGAUGGAACCAGACUGGCCUUUGGGCAAACCACCUUGGCCACGAAAAUGGAUGCUAAACUUCAUAUCGGAAGACUUGAAAUUUAGACUCCAUUAUGUUAACUCAUUGGCUACAUGAUCAUAAACAAACUACUUCAUUUCUUUAAGACACAGUUUCCUUUUCUGUAAAGUGAAAAUAUUAAUACAUGACCUUUACCAACGGGUAUUUGUCAGUAUUUAAUGAAGAAACGUAAGUAACUAAUACUUAAAAAAAAUAUAAAAGUAGUAUUUCCAGAUAUCUACUGGGUCAUCAGGAAAUUUAUAUCCUGACAACUGGUAACUGUAGUGAUUCACACUGAACAAAUGUUUAUUGAGUGUUUCCUAUGUGCUAGGGGCUAGAAAAUCAGAAUGGGGAUAAGAUAGUCAUAGUUCCUACCCUCACUGAGCUUAAGCCUAUUAUGCUAUAUAAUGAAUACAUAAUGAAUAUAUAUAUCUCUUUUAGUCAAUAAACACCUAUUGAGUACCUAAUAUUAGGUGUCAUGGGAGAUACAAAGAUGUGUAAGGUAGCUUACACUCAAAGAAGAAGCCCAUAAGCCACAAAUAAAAUGAAUGGGAAUUCAAAAGAGGGAAAUGGAUGGAGAGCUCGGAUCAGGAAAGACUUCAAGGAGAAAGUGGCAUAAAAGUGGGCUCUUGAAAGGCAGGUAGAGUUGCACGUGUAGAAGGGCAUUAAGAAGGCAGAGAGGCAAGGAAAGUGCCUUUAAGUGUGUAGUCCAGUUUGUCUGGAAUGAAGUGGGAGUAGGGAUGUAGGUGAAGGCUGGAGGAGGAUUAUCAGAAGCUAAGUGUUGAUAGACUGAUUUCCAAGUGUAAAGUGUAGAACUUAUACUGGAGAAAAUGUGGAGCCAUUAAUGGCUUUGUCAGUGCUUUAGGAAGAUUAAUGAUUCAGGCAUAGUAUACAGGAUUAACUGGUAGGGAGAGAAAUUGGAGGUAGAGAUCAACUAGAUUUUCAUUGAAAGUAAAGGUAGGAGGA
ensembl:lncRNA